AUGCUGACAGANAACUUCCAUUCAAGCCGGCAAAACCCGCCUGCGGGCUCUCAGAAGGCCCGAGAGCUGCCAGGCCUUCAACACAGCCGACGCGCAGGAGGUGGAUGGCUGGAUCCCACGAGGAGGCUUUUCUCCCNACAACGGCCCCAACGUCCUUCUGGCGCCCAAACCCCACUGCCCCGUUUGGGCCCCUCGGCCGCACUGCGCAGGAGAGGAGAAGGACCCCUUGCCGGGCGGGGCAGCUGGGCUUGCGAAGCGCGGAUGGGAUGGGCGGGGUCUGCCCGCACGCUCGCCUGUCCCUUUGGCAGAGGCGCCUGGGCAGUUUGCUUGUCCCAGGCAGGGAGGAGAGCUUUUACCCNGCUGCUACUGUCGGAAGACAAAAGGUUCGUGCAAUAUUUAGGUGGUUCUCUGCCUCCUUUCGCCUUGACCUGGCCUGCACUUGCUGGAUUCCUGGCUUUAGGCGAGAGACCCUGGGCGGAAAUGUUCCGGGACCUUCCCGGGGAACCUUGGUGCGUUCCAUUUGCUUACACUCCUAUCCUGCCCUAUACCCAAAAGUCUCAGGGCAUCUCACAACAAAAACACUAUAAAACCCGACAAAAUAGACGGCAAAACCGGGCGAGAAAUGGGGGUGGCCCAUGGUGUGGAGGCGGCGGGCGGCCCAAGGCUUGUGUUGCACGCACGCCCGAUCUCGCCUGCACUGCCUUCCGCUUCAGGGCGCAGCUCCCCAAGCCCUGGCGACUCCAGAUUUGGCUGGAGCGGCGUGUGGCUGCUGGNGUCCGGCACAGCCUCGUCCCACAGCAUCCCAGAGUGGCGGAGGGCAGCAGCUGGCCCUGGCACAGGGCAGCGUCUGCACAAGCCGAAGGACUGGCUCUUCACCCUCCUCGGCAUCACCCAGACGUGGCAUUUCUCGCCAUCUCAAUGCCUCUGGAACCCGCUAGUUGGGGGGGUCAGGCUCCUAGCCAGCUCCAUAUAUAUAGGGGGGGGCAACAUAAAUUUGGGGGUGAAUGA
rnacentral:lncRNA from 1 species